CUACAGUACAUACAGUCAUUAUACAGCAGAUACAGUAGGUACAGUAGUUACAGUAGAAAAAGCAGUUACAGUAGGUACAUUAGUUACUCUAGAUACAGUAGGUACAGUAGUUACAGUAGUUACCGUAGAUACAUUAGUUACAGUAAGUACAGUAGAUACAGUAGGCACAUUAGUAACAGUAGGUACAUUAGUUACAGUAGAUACAGUAGAUACAGUAGGUACAUUAGUUACAGUAGAUACAGUAGAUACAGUAGGUACAUUAGUAACAGUAGGUACAUUAGUUACCGUAGGUACAGUAGAUACAGAAGGUACAUUAGUUACAGUAGAUACAGUAGAUACAGUAGAUACAGUAGAUACAGUAGGUAUAUUAAUACCAGUAGGUACAUUAGUUACCGUAGGUACAGUAGAUACAGUAGAUACAGUAGAUACAGUAGAUACAGUAGGUAUAUUAGUAACAGUAGGUACAAUAGUUACAGAAGAUACAGUAGAUACAGUAGGUACAGUAGGUAUAUAAGUAACAGUCGGUACAUUAGUAUCCAUAGAUACAGUAGGUACAUUAGUUACAGUAGAUACAGUAGGUACAGUAGAUACAGUAGGUAUAUAAGUAACAGUAGGCACAUUAGUUACCGUAGAUACAGUAGAUACAGUAGGUGUAUUAGUAACAGUAGGUACAUUAGUUACCAUAUAUACAGUAAAUACAGUAGGUACAUUAGUUACAGUAGAUACAGUAGAUACAGUAGGUAUAUUAGUAACAGUAGGUACAUGAGUUACCGUAGAUACAGUAGAUACAGUAGGUAUUUUAGUAACAGUAGGUACAUUAGUUACCAUAUAUACAUUAAAUACAGUAGGUACAUUAGUUACAGUAGAUACAGUAGGUAUAUUAGUAACAGUAGGUACAUUAGUUACCUUAGAGACAGUAGAUUCAGUAGGUCCAUUAGUUACAGUAGAUACAGUAGAUACAGUAGAUACAGUAGGUAUAUUAGUAACAGUAGGUACAUUAGUUACCGUAUAUACAGUAGAUUCAGUAGGUGCAUUAGUUACAGUAGAUACAGUAAAUACAGCAGGUAUAUUAGUAACAAUAGGUACAUUAGUUACCGUAGAUACAGUAGAUACAGUAGGUACAUUAGUUACAGUAGAAAAAGCAGUUACAGUGGGUACAUUAGUUACUCUAGAUACAGUAGGUACAGUAGUUACAGUAGUUACCGUAGAUACAUUAGUUACAGUAAGUACAGUAGAUACAGUAGGUACAGUAGGCACAUCAGUAACAGUAGGUACAUUAGUUAUAGUAGAUACAGUACAUACAGGCAUUACAUUAGUUUCAGUAGUUACGUUAGUUACCAUAGAUACAGUACAUACAGUCAUUAAAGUAGUUACUGUAGGUACAUUAGGUACAUUAGUUACCGUAGGUACAGUAUAUACAGUAGUUACAGUAUGUACAGUAGUUACAGUAGUUACAGUAGUUACAUUAGUUACUCUAGAUACAAUAGGUAUAUUAGUUACAGUAGAUACGGUAGAUACAGUAGGUACAUUAUAAUCAGUAGGUACAUUAGUUACAUUAGAUACAGUAGAUACAUUAGUUACCGUAGAUACAGUAGUUACAGUAGUUACUGUAGAUACAUUAGUUACAGUAGUUACAGUAGAUACAGUAGGUACAUUCGUUACAGUAGAUACAGUACAUACAGUCAUUACAUUAGUUUCAGAACGUACAUUAGUUACCAUAGAUACAGUACACAGUCAUUACAGUAGUUACUGUAGAUACAGUAGGUACAUUCGUUACAGUAGGUACAGUAGUUACAGUAGGUACAUUAGUUACUCUAGAUAUAGUAGGUACAUUAGUUACCGUAGAUACAGUAGUUACAGUAGUUACUGUAGAUACAUUAGUUACAGUAGGUACAGUAGAUACAGUAGGUACUGUAGUUACAUUAGUUACUGAAGAUACAGUAGUUACAGUAGGUACAUUAGUUACAGUAGGUACAGUAGUUACAGUAGGUACAUUAGUUACAGUAUAUACAGUUGAUACAGUAGGUACAUUAGUAACUGUAGGUACAUUCAUUACAGUAGAUACAGUACAUACAGUCAUUACAUUAGUUUCAGAAGGUACAUUAGUUACCAUAGAUACAGUACACAGUCAUUACAGUAGUUACUGUAGAUACAGUAGGUACAUUCGUUACCGUAGAUACAAUAGUUACAGUAGUUACAUUAGUUACCGUAGAUACAUUAGUUACAGUAGGUACAGUAGAUACAGUUGGUACAGUAGUUAUAUUAGUUACAGUAGAUACAGUAUUUACAGUAGGUACAUUAGUUACAGUAGGUACAGUAGUUACAGUAGGUACGGUAGUUAUAUUAGUUACAGUAGAUACAGUAGUUACAGUAGGUACAGUACUUACAGUAGGUACCGGCAAGGUCAAAUACAACCACCCUUACGAGGUGUAUGUCCCUCUUUAACUCUCUCUCUCCUCUCCCUAUUCCUCCCUCUCCUUCUCUCCCUCUUUACCUCUCUCCUUCUCUCCCUCUUUAACUCUCUCCUUCUCUCCCAAUACCCCACCCAUAUCUCCCAGUGUGUUGAGGAGGGGAUGAGGGAGAUUGACAGGGAGAAGAAAGGGGACAGGAGGAGGGGGAUAUGAUUAGGCCUUGAUUCUAUUUUUAACUGUCUGAUGUAUGGCCAUGUUUAACUGCUUUAAUUGAGUAAUAUUCCGGGAAGCAUGAAUCAUUUUGGAGAAACUGUGAUUGAUGGAUGGAUGGAUUGUUGGAGAGAAGAGAGGUGGGGGGAGAAAGGGGAGUGAAGAUGGGGAGGGAGAAGGAGUGAUGGUACAGUGAGGGAGUGAUAGAGGGAGACAAGGUGAGAGAGAGGAGAGAGAGAGAGAGAGCAAGAGAGAGAUUGAGAGAGGAGAGAGAGGGAGAGGAGUGAGAUUGAGAGAGAGAGGAGAGAGAGGAGAGAGAGAGGAGAGAGGAGAGAGAGAGGAGAGAGAGAGAGAGCUAGAGGGACGUAGACAGACUGACGAGGGGAAUAUGGAUUUGCAGUCUCAUAAGAGGCUCUCUUUCUU
ensembl:lncRNA